rnacentral:lncRNA from 1 species
UGACUGCUACAACUGUGUCAGCAGGCUCCCAGUUCUGUGUGACAAACUUUGUGGCAAAACCACAGCUGCCAGAGUCCAACUUCUUGGAUGCUAUGUUCUCUAUGAGGUUGCAGGGUUCUCCCAAAUCUCAGGUACGCAAGUUCAACCUAAUGGUAAAGCAAUUAAAGCUCAAGUCUUAGGUUCAUCAACAAUAUUUUUUUACUAUUAGUUUUCAUAAAGUAAAAAAGGCUACAAAAAGCCCAAUAUAAAAAUAUCUUAAAAUUUGUUUUAGGCCUCACUCACCCUUAAGUCAGUGCAGGUAUGCAAAUGCUGUACAAGACUUGUGGGGCCACAAAUGCUGCUGGGAGAGGGUUCGAAGAAAGGAGGGACACUGCAUUCUCAGUGAUGGAAAAUGGGGUGGUUAGUGGCCAUGGCUUCUACACUACCAGCU